AUCACUACCAACUUCCUCCAGCAAGGUUGAUGUUAUGCUUGACAGAGAAGACUCUGCAAUUUGACUAAUUCCUGCCUGAGGAACACAAUGCCUGAGAGCUCUGGGUAUGACCUGCCUCCUCCCAAACCGCCAUUGCUAGAAGACAACAGUGAUUUGGACAACAGAGACAUGAAUUUGAGGUGGCAUGGACACAGGCUUCCCGCCCUGCUGAGGAUAUUCUACUCUUCUUGCCUUUGCCUAUGAAAAUCUCUAGGUCACUUCAAAGUCCAGCUCAGGUGCUUCCUCUAAUAUGAGGUCUUUUGUGACCUCCUGUAUUUUUUUGUGUCUCCCACUCAAUUUUCCUAGGUACAGCAGAUAAACCAGUGGGAUUGGAAUCAAGAAGAUAUCUUCCUGAGUUCAAAUAUGACUUUAGACACUUACUAGCUGUGUGGCGUGUGACCCUGGAUAAGUCACUUAAUUCGAUUUGACACAGUUUCUCAUCUGCAAAAUGAGCUGGAGAAGGAAAUGGCAAAGCACACUCCAUCAUCUUUGCCAAGAGUAUCCUAAAAUGGGGUUACAGGUUUUGGACACAACUGUAGAGGACUGAAACUUGGAAUUGGUGUAUUUGAAUCUGAGACCGCAGAGCAUUUAAGGCUAGUUAUCUAUUUGAUGUGAGAUAAUGACUCUAUUAGCAUAUAUUUGGAUCAUGGCUCUCCUCACCUUUGGGGCUUGCUGAAUAUUUGGGAGUAAGAUAAUUGUAGGCAAGGAUUGGGAGGGGUAGGGUGGAGUGAGGGAAGGGACAGUGACUUGGCAGCAGGCAGGAUGAGGAAGAGAGAGGUUGGUGACUCCAGACUUCAGAAACCAGGAGACAUAUCUUUGGCAAGCCUCCUGGCAGCUUGCCUGCCUCCUUUACUUCUCCCCUAAAGACCAAGGACUUUAAUUUGUCCUGACUCUGGCUGACCCUAAAGCCCUCCAGGGAGCUAGCCCAUACUAUACACACAACUUAACAACAACAAACUAUUUUCCUAAUUUACUUUGCAUUUGUGCUUUGUACACAUUUUAUGUUGACUUCUCAGUGCAUUGGAUGUUUUCCUCUAGUAGGAUGUUAGCUCUUUGAGGAUGGAGAUUAUCAUUUUGUCAUUGCCUUUGGGUUUCCAGCACCUAUCACAGUGUCUGGCACAUCAUAGGCCAUUCUUAAAUAUUUAAACCAUGCAGAUAGAGAUGUCCUCUGACCCAUGCCUCCUUUGUCAGAGUGUCAGUUCACUAUUGGUUUUAGAGCUUCUGAAUUACCAAAGCCAGACCACCUUGAAAGUCAUCUCCUCAACAACCUGAUAAAGCAAUUCAUAAUUAUAUAGACAGGUAUGUUAUUUUUCAGCUUAACAUCCUGCUACUUACUUCAGAACACUGAAAUGAAAAGAAGUAAUUCUGCUGUCAAGAUAUAUUCAACUACUGAUUAUUUACUUUUUUGGGUAAAACGAUUAAAUUUUUUGCUUUUUUAUCUUUUUUCCAUAAUGAUAGUGAUAAUAAUUAACCUUUAUAUGGCGCUUAAGAGCUUGCAUAAUACUUUAUAUAUACUUCCUUUCCCCGCUUAUGAAUCUUGCAAUAAUUAUAUAAAAUAAAUAAUGCUACUACUAU